GAGAAUCAACACAUGGUGACGACAGACUGCCGCGGAAAGUCCUGGCCAAUGUGUGUGUGUGGAAGAGGAGUGUCCUUUGCUAUUUAGUCUACCUUUGAGAACACUGUUGUACUCUGAGUCUCUUCUGUUCUGACUCUCACUCAGCACAGCUCACUCCUCCCUCGUCUGUCCACAAGGAGUCUUUAAGUAUCACCUGCUGCAACAAUGUCGAAAGAUGUACCACGCGAGCCAGAGCAGCUUCGCAAGCUGUUCAUUGGAGGUCUGAGCUUCGAGACUACAGAUGAAAGCCUGAGGGCUCAUUUUGAGCAAUGGGGGAGCCUUACAGACUGUGUGGUCAUGAGGGACCCCAAUUCCAAAAGGUCCAGGGGCUUUGGCUUUGUUACAUACUCCUCCGUUGAUGAGGUUGAUGCUGCAAUGACUGCCCGACCCCACAAGGUUGAUGGAAGAGUGGUUGAACCCAAACGGGCUGUUUCCAGAGAGGACUCAAACCGACCAGGAGCCCAUGUGACGGUAAAAAAGAUAUUUGUUGGUGGCAUCAAAGAAGACACAGAGGAGUCCCACCUGAGAGAUUACUUUUCUCAGUUUGGCAAAAUCGAGGUCAUUGAUAUCAUGACCGACCGUAACUCUGGAAAGAAGAGGGGCUUUGCCUUUGUGACGUUUGAUGAUCAUGAUUCAGUUGACAGGAUUGUUAUCCAAAAAUACCACACUAUCAACUCUCACAACUGUGAAGUGAGGAAGGCUCUCACGAGGCAAGAGAUGCAGACAGCAGGAAUGGGUCGCAGCAGCAGUGGAGGAGGCGGAGGUGGAAGGCCCUAUGACUAUGACAGAGGCUUCAGCCCGAGUGGUAGGGGUCGCUAUGGUGAUGGUCCUUACAAUUCCAACGGUGGUGGUGGUGCCAACGAUGGUGGUGGCGGCGGCGGCGGCAGUGGGGGUGGAUAUGGAGGUGGGCCAGGCGGAUACAACAAUGGUGGAAACCGAGGGUAUAACCAAGGAGGUUACAACCAGGGUGGUGGUGGUGGUAGUAGUGGUGGAGGAGGAGGAGGAGGAGGCGGUGGUAGUGGAGGUGGUGGCUAUGGAGGAAAUGGUUAUGAGAGCAAUGGCUAUGGUAACUGUGGUGGUGGUGGUGGUAGUAGCGGAGGUGGAGGUGGUGGUGGAAAUAAUUACAACAAUAUGGGCAACUACGACUCCCAGGCCUCCAACUUUGGCCCAAUGAAAAACAACUUUAGUGGUGGUGGCGGUGGUGGCGGCAGUGUUGGAGGAGGAGGAGGAGGAGGAGGAGGAAGGAGCUUUGGCGGUGGCUAUGGAGGUGGCUCAAACAACAACGGUGGUGGAUAUGGUCGUUCGGCACGAUUCUGAAUGUGAAGUGGACUGAGUACUUAGGAGAGGAGAGGAGAGCAAGGAGAGGAGAGCGAGAGAAGUGACAGGGCAGCUGCAGGUUUACGUCCUAAAUCUGCUCAGCCAAACAAUUGUGGCAGGUUACUGCUGCUGCAAGAAGAGAUGUACAGUAGAUAAAUCAUGGAGGGUCUUCACUUAUACGUUUUUGUGUUUUUAUUUUUUAAUCGAAAUGUGUAUCUGGAAAGAAAGCAUUCCAAUGAGAUUUUAUGUAGAUUUCUUUUUCUUUGAGUCUGGUUUUAUUUGUAUCUGCAUCAAAUCAAGCUGAAAUAAAGCAUCUUUCAGUUUUUUACAAAGUGUUGUUAGCCUCUUCAGUGGUCUGGGAAAGGGAGGGUUGACUAUUACUGUACACUGUGGGAUGAGGGACAUCAUUUGCAUAUGUGAGGAGCCAAGAAAUAUCCAUGUGAUGUGAGAAGACCUGCAAUAGUAACUACAUACACCAUAAGUCAAUGUGAAGGGAACAUCUACAAUUGUGGUUGAGGAAUGAGAGGUGGUGCACAAAAUACUUCGUCAUAAAGAGCCCAUCACCUGGUACAGACUACCCUGAGUUCUGCAAAGAUCAACUGGAGGAUGCUAGCUUACAUGCAAAGUCUUUGAGGCUAGUCAUGGAAGCCAGCUGAGGGAGAGAAGUAGCAAAACCAUCGCCAGGAUCAUUGAAGCAGGGGAGAGUGAGAACAGAAGCCUGAGGCUAGCAUGCAGCAGCUACCAAAAGGCAUAAGUGCUGUCUGUAGGUAAGACCAGACUUCUCAACUACUGAUAGUAUGUAUUGCUAUUGUGUAGCUGGUAGUAAGUUACGUAGCCCAGUAAUGACAAUAUAUUUGUGCAAAAAAAACUUUAUUAUGACUUCACCAAUAACGCCUUCUAGUUGUGCAAAGAGGCCGUACAAAUAUGCAUGCUGUGAACAACAUUUAAUAAUUUGUUUUCUUUGGUUGCCAGAUUGUUAUACUUAAUUGGUAUUUCUGCUUUAUAGGAAACUCAACAUGGUGUCCAAAACCCGAUUCCAUUUCUGUGACAAUGGCUCAAUUCAGGCUUCCUGAAUAAUCAUGCUGGAGACUUGUUUUUUUUACACUGAAGACUGCUGUGCAGUGUUUUUAAAUAAAGUAUUUUUAUAAGA